UACAGGAAUGAUUGGGGGCGGAAGGGAGGAAUUAAAUUACCGAAGUAAUUUAUUUAGUCUAUUCCCAUUUCACCAUAGGAUCAUCAGUCUGUAUGCACACCUGUGCUUCUCUACCUCCUCACAGCAAAGAUGUGCUAGUAGGGAGGAAACAAGGCAUUUCCAAGUAGCCAGCAUUUUUAAGGAGGAGGGGAUCUUAUUUUCACCGCAGAUCUCCAUUUCACCAAGGACUGCACAAAGACCUCAUGCUGGUGGCAGAGCAGCAGUAUUCAGCCAUCAGCAAGAACGAGAAAUUUGCAACAUGGUCAUAGCCAACAAUUCCAUCAGGCUAAGAGGGAUCCGAAGUGCAAUCACAAAUGACGACGAUAUCUUCGCAAAUAUCAAUUCUGUCAGCAUUUCCACUAUAGACAGAGUUUUGGGGGAAAAAUGACUAUGAAACAGCUCUACAAGGUACCAUUUGAGAGGAAUCGUAACAGAGUGAAGGAGCUGCGGUGCCAGUAUGUCCAGAAAAUACUGGAGCUGGAAGGACAUGAAAUGACCCACAUUCUUGUUUUUGUGGACGAGGCUGGGUUCAAUCUGGCCCAAGGCAGGAGAUGUGGCCGCAAUCUCAUUGGACACCGAGCCACAAUUGGCACACCAGGCUAACGUGGGGAGCAAUGUUACAAUGUGUGCUGCCAUUUCUGAGAAUGUUGUGAGCGCACAUAUUCCACACAUUGGGCCCUAUAACACCCAUCUUCUCCUGGCCUUCCUAAAUACACUUUACAGAGACCUAAUAACAGAACAUGAAAGAGGUUUAGUUAGUGCAGAUUUGCCAAAUUGUGUGGGAUAAUGUCAGCUUCCACCAAAACAACAUUGUUAGGGAAUGGUUUGCUGCACAUGAAAGGAUAACCAUGGAGUUCCUUCCACCAUCUUCCCCAUUCCUGAAACCGAUAGAAGAGUUUAGUUCAGCAUGGAGGUGGAAAGUAUAUGCAGGGGAUGGUUGCGCCAGACAAGGAGAUUUCCCCCCCC